GAUCAACAAGUCUCGGUUGGUAGAGCAUGAGACUCUUAAUCUCAGGGUUGUGGGUUUGAGCCCCACCUUGGGCA